GGGUAGUGCCCUAUAGAAGAAGUGAUGUAAUUCUUGUGACACCUCAGGCAGCUCUGUGAGAGGGCUAUGAUAGAAAAAUAAGACUGACACUCCCCUCUUUAUGGUUUCCUAAUCUUGCCAUGUGACUGUUCCUACAUGGGUCCCACCAUUGUGAUGCCAUCUCCCAUUGUGAUGACACAGCCAAUGUCCCUCACCAGAGCCAAGCAGAUGUUGGUGCCAUGCUCUUGAACUUCUAAAAAUGUCAGCUGGCCUUGAUGCUCCAAUGGUUGAGACAUUCCCAAGUGAGUCUGUGCCUCAGGUUUCACUCUGCAGGUGUAUUUGUGCAGGUGGUCUCCAAGAGGACGAGGACUUGUCCAUCCCCAAUGACCUGAAUGGUGCUUGGCACAUAGUGUGUGCUCAACAAACAUUGGCUCAAUGAUUGGCUUGGAUGAUUGAAUAGUUGUCAGUUCCCUACUCAAUGAUUUUCAGUCUUUAAACCCCCUUCUCUGCCUUCCCUGUUCUAUAACACUUAUUGGGUCCCUACUGUGUGCCAAGAACAGGCUAGAGGAAAUGUACUUUCUUUUGGGGUGAUGAAACGCUUUGAAACUAGAUAAAGAUGUGUUUGCCCA
rnacentral:lncRNA from 1 species